rnacentral:rRNA from 1 species
AUUGAACGCUGGCGGAAUGCUUUACACAUGCAAGUCGAGCGGCAGCGCGGGGGCGAACCCUCGGCGGCGAGCGGCGGAACGGGUGGAGUAACACAUCGGAACGGUACCCACGUGGUGGGGGAGUAGCCCGGCGAAAGCCGGAUUAAUACCGCAUACGACCUGAGGGGGAAAGGUAGGGGGACCGGCAAGGGCCUCACGCCGUUGGAGCGGCCGAUGUUCGAUUAGCUAGUUGGUAGGGUAAAGGCCUACCAAGGCGACGAUCGAUAGCUGGUCUGAGAGGACGACCAGCCACACUGGAACUGAGACACGGUCCAGACUCCUACGGGAGGCAGCAGUGGGGAAUUUUGGGACAAUGGGGGCAACCCGUGAUCCAGCCAUUCCGCGUGAGUGAAGAAGGCCU